ACAAGCGCGUUACCGGUCCUACCCCCGCGGACAAGACAGCGCAUCUUCAGGAGCGUUGUUUUGUGUUGCGGUGUUUGCCUCACCGCCGUGUGUAAGAGCUAGGUGAUAAUAUAAAUAUUUUGCAAAUUGUCUCCACCGCACGCGUGGUGUUCUUUUGAUUUUGUGGAACAGCGCAGAACACCUGCACACACAUAAAGGACGGCGCUUGCGCAGCUGUCCCUACGUCAUCGCGUAAUCCAAUUAUUGUAAUCGAUUAAUUGCAAACUGUCACCAUGACAACUGGGCUAGGACCGAAUUAUAGAUUAUAUUUUUAAUUUCAACAGUUAAUCCUAAAUUUUGUUAUUUAUUUUUUAAACGGUGCCGCGAUAUUAGGUAUAUGUCAAAGUAAGAAUGGCGCGAAUACUGUAAGAUAAGAUUUGGAAAUAAUUGUACAUCAUGACAAGAAUUAGAAUAUACUUGUGUCAUAGCCAUGAUCUGUUAUUUGUUUGUGGUAAUUUAUUAAAUAAAAUACUCCUUAACUACUUAAUGUUCUUGUAAUAAUGCAUGCGAUAUAGAAUAAAUCUUUUUUGGAUUU